UACGUAGGGAGCAAGCGUUGUCCGGAAUCAUUGGGCGUAAAGCGCGCGUAGGUGGCUCUGUAAGUCCGUUGUGAAAGUCAAAGGCUCAACCUUUGAAAGCCGAUGGAUACUGCAGAGCUAGAGUACGGAAGAGGCGAGUGGGAAUUCCUGGUGUAGCGGUGGAAUGCGCAGAUAUCAGGAGGAACACCAAUAGCGAAGGCAGCUCGCUGGGACGUUACUGACACUGAGGCGCGAAGCCAGGGGAGCGAA
rnacentral:rRNA from 1 species